rnacentral:rRNA from 1 species
UACAGAGGGGGCAAGCGUUGUUCGGAAUUACUGGGCGUAAAGGGCGCGUAGGCGGCCUGCUAAGUCGAACGUGAAAUCCCCGGGCUCAACCCGGGAACUGCGUCCGAUACUGGCAGGCUUGAAUCCGGGAGAGGGAUGUGGAAUUCCAGGUGUAGCGGUGAAAUGCGUAGAUAUCGAGAGGAACACCUGCGGCGAAGGCGGGUUGCUGGGCUGACACUGACGCUGAGGCGCGAAAGCUAGGGGAGCGAACGGG